rnacentral:rRNA from 1 species
GACGAACGCUGGCGGCGUGCUUAACACAUGCAAGUCGAACGGUGAAGCGCCUUCCUUUUUGGUGAGUGUGGAUGAGUGGCGAACGGGUGAGUAACACGUGAGUAACCUGCCCCCUUCUUCUGGAUAACCGCAUGAAAGUGUGGCUAAUACGGGAUAUUCUGGGUCUGUCGCAUGAUGGGUCUGGGAAAGAUAUUGUUUCGGUGGGGGAUGGGCUCGCGGCCUAUCAGCUUGUUGGUGGGGUGAUGGCCUACCAAGGCGGUGACGGGUAGCCGGCCUGAGAGGGUGGACGGUCACACUGGGACUGAGACACGGCCCAGACUCCUACGGGAGGCAGCAGUGGGGAAUAUUGCACAAUGGGCGCAAGCCUGAUGCAGCGACGCCGCGUGAGGGAUGGAGGCCUUCGGGUUGUGAGCCUCUUUCGCCAGUGAAGCAGGCCUGCCUCGUUUGUGGGUGGGUUGACGGUAGCUGGAUAAGAAGCGCCGGCUAACUACGUG